rnacentral:lncRNA from 1 species
AGGGAUGCAUCUUGGAGAUGCAUCCCAUCCACACAUCCUCUCAUUAAAAGACAUCAUCUAAAGAGCCAUAUCAAAUAAGAGGAGGCGCAGAUCAAGUGAAGAGGUGUAUCAAAUGAUAUGUCCUUUCAUGUGGUCCCAUAUUUUGACCAAGUCAACAUCACAUGCCAAUCACAUGUCCAUCACACAUCACCUCUUGAUCUUUCAUGAUGAUGAUCCAAGGGCUCCAAUGCAAGGCGCCAUUCACUUGACCUAUUAUGUCUUCAUCCAAUGGUGGGAUUAAGAUCCAAUGGUCAAUUAUGAUAGCCAUCCUCUAACCCAAUCCAAUUGGGUUAAACCAACUCUCCAUUAUGUCUUCAUCCAACGGUAGAUCUAACGGUCUAGAUUGAAUGAUUUAUCAAAUCUAAUUCAAUUAGACUCAAACCAAGCCAAUUAGGUGCCAACUCUUGGCUAACCCAUAUUAGAACAUGAUCUAAUCAAAUUAGAUCAAUUAAGAAUCAGAUUCGAAUCCAAUUCGAAUCAGAUUCGAAUCCAAUUCGAAUCAGGAGCUAAGGGUUUGCAACACCUGCUAGAAUGUCUAUCUUGCAAACAUGAUUUAAUCCAAUUAGACCCUUGAUAAGUUUUCUUGUGUGUGACCCAUUGGGUUCCAUACUUAGCCAGCAACAGGUGUGAGUGCGAGUUGACCCAAUUUGAUUAGAACUCUUCUAAUCGAUUUAAGUCCAAACUGCGCGAAUCCGAACUUAACAAUUAGAAUCCUUUCUAAUUGGUGAUCGAAUUAAACUCUUUAAUUCGAUCAAACCUAUAAGACAAUAUUUACGUCUAGCAAUGUGUCAUGUCUACCCAGAAAAUAUGGAAUUUGGUAGAAAUACCAAAAAUACCCUUCAGUGGUAAGUUACC